rnacentral:lncRNA from 1 species
UUAUGGUAUAGUAAAAUAGUUUUUAUUUUUCAGUUGAGGAAGAAUUUUAUGUGGAAUGUUAAUGCAAAAGGUACAAAUAUUGACAGUUAAACCAUCACCACCUCCACAGCCACCUUAUCUCAAGCAUUCAAUUGCAUUCUAAGUUAUCUUUAUUCAAAUCAAGUGUGACUACUAUACCAAAAGACUGUAGAAUGGGCCAAUCAACUAACCCAUCAGUACUUGCAAAGUCUUCUUUUCUGUAAGCCCGAAAUUUGAGUUCUAAAAUACCAUUAUCCACAUAACUACUAUAUCAAAGCACUAACUAAUGGAUUGAUCAAGUAAUACUUAAUUUUUA